rnacentral:rRNA from 1 species
UACGUAGGGGGCAAGCGUUAUCCGGAUUUACUGGGUGUAAAGGGAGCGUAGACGGCUCUGCAAGUCUGGAGUGAAAGCCCGGGGCUCAACCCCGGGACUGCUUUGGAAACUGUGGAGCUAGAGUGUAGGAGAGGUAAGUGGAAUUCCUAGUGUAGCGGUGAAAUGCGUAGAUAUUAGGAGGAACACCAGUGGCGAAGGCGGCUUACUGGACUGUAACUGACGCUGAGGAGCGAAAGCAUGGGGAGCGAACAGG